rnacentral:rRNA from 1 species
AACGAACGCUGGCGGCGUGCCUAACACAUGCAAGUCGAGCGCGAAUGGGCAACCUAGUAGCGCGGCGCACGGGUGAGUAUCACGUGGGUAAUCUACCCAAAAGCUGGGAAUAACCUGCCGAAAGGCAAGCUAAUACCCAAUAAGCUCACGGUCUCUUCGGAGAUUGAGAGAAAAGGUGGCCUCUGUAUACAAGCUAUCACUUUUGGAUGAGCCCGCGGCCCAUCAGCUAGUUGGCGGGGUAACGGCCCACCAAGGCAACGACGGGUAGCUGGUCUGAGAGGACGAUCAGCCACACUGGAACUGAGACACGGUCCAGACUCCUACGGGAGGCAGCAGUGGGGAAUUUUGCACAAUGGGCGAAAGCCUGAUGCAGCAACGCCGCGUGUGCGAUGAAGGUCUUCGGAUUGUAAAGCACUUUCGACCGGGAUGAAAAUCGGAUGGCCAAUAUCCAUCCGCCUGACCGUACCGGGAGAAGAAGCACCGGCUAACUCUGUGCCAGCCGCCGCAGUAAAAC